GGAGUGGGACGAUCUGACUGUGACGUCUGACACCACCAUUGAUCGCCAGGGUUGAUUCAGCUGACCUGGCUGGCUAGGCAGGUGUGCCUUUCCUCCCUCAUGCUCCACGUGCAUUCCCUCCGAAGCUGUGCACUGGGUUGAAGAGGAUGACCAUCAGCGAUGGAGGAGCACUGUUCUUCUGUCAAGGGUGUGUAAGUAGCUGUGCUCCCCUGCUAAAACCUCCAUCCAAGCUCUCAAGAAGAGGAGUGGGAGAAAAGGGAGAUUGUUGGAGGGAAUGAACCAAACAUGGAUACAAUAUAUGUAUGUAUGGAAAUGU
rnacentral:snRNA from 1 species